rnacentral:misc_RNA from 1 species
UCUAGAUAUAAAGCAGCGCUUUAUGCAAAAAGCAACCUCAAAUACAGGUCUAUGGAUUCCAAAAGUAAUAACUCGAUGAUUAGAUUUGGGACUUCCCAAUGAAGAUCCCAGCUUUUAAUACAAUUUAGAUGAUCAUGAGGGAAUUGGGAGAUGGAUAGUGUUACCCUCCAUUGUGUGAUAUUGGCCACAGGCCCUCAAUGGCAUCAUAUUGUGCAGGUUUAACAACCAUGCGUAUCACCACUGGGAACCUCAGUCAUACCCAUCACUGGGAAACAUGUGAAGAUUCUAAAUAUGAUGAUCAUAUUUUACUACAUAUCCCGAGUCUACAAUACUAAGUAUACAAUGACAACAAAAAUUAAAUAUGUCAACAAAAG